UUUAGAUAUAAAUUAUUUUAACCUAGGUAGUACUAGUUAAUGUCUUGAAACUUAAAGAAUUUGGCGGUAUUUUAGUCUAUUUAGAGGAAUCUGUCCCUUAAUCGAUAAUCCACGUUGUACCUUACCAAAUUUAAAUAAUAUGUAUACCGCCGUUAUAAUGAGAAUCUUUAUAGAGUUAUAAUAAUUUUCUAGAUUUAUUUAUAAAAUUUAUUUCAGGUCAAGGUGCAGUUUAUAAUAUGGUGGAGAUGGAUUACAUUUAUUUUGAUUUAUUGGAUUAUUUUUUGGAAUUAAAAGAUAUAAAAUUGGAUUUAAUUGUAAUUUUUUGUAGAUUUUAAAUAUGAUUUUAGCUCUAUAAUAUGU
rnacentral:rRNA from 1 species